CUGCCCGUAGCUCAGCUGGAUCAGAGCGUCCGCCUUCUAAGCGGGAUGUCGCGAGUUCAAGUCUCGCCGGGCGGGCCA
rnacentral:tRNA from 1 species